AUACGGAGGAUCCGAGCGUUAUCCGGUUUUAUUGGGUUUAAAGGGCGCGCAGGCGGCCAUUUAAGUCAGCGGUUAAAUCGUGGGGCUCAACCCCAUUCUGCCGUUGAUACUGGGUGGCUUGAUUGUGGUCGAGGUUGGCGGAAUUCGUUGUGUAGCGGUGAAAUGCAUAGAUAUGACGAAGAACACCGAUUGCGUAGGCAGCUGACCAGAUCGCAAAUGACGCUCAUGCACGAAAGUGCGGGGAUCGAACAGGAUUAGAUACCCUGGUAGUCCGCACAGUAAACGAUGAAUACUUGUUUUCGGCGAUAUAAUGUCGGAGGCAAAGCGAAAGCGAUAAGUAUUCCACCUGGGGAGUACGCCGGCAACGGUGAAACUUAAAGGAAUUGACGGGG
rnacentral:rRNA from 1 species